AUGUAUGCUAAGGAAUACAAAACAAGUGAAGAGAUAGCAGGAGCACCCAGGGACCUCAGGAGCCAAGGGCAGCCCCUGCCACUGCCACUGACACCACUGUUGCAUAAGUGGUCUACCACAGCCACUGCAGCAGCUACCACCACCAUGCAGGUGGCCUGCCAACCACUCAACUGCAUUGUCACAAGGCGAGUCAUCAGUAGAGCCCAGGGAAAGAGAGGCAGUGACGUCUUGAGCACAGCUGAUGCCCAAGGUUCAGAUCAGAACCGGAGGUUUCUCACCCUGCAGGAGGCAGCCACCAGCAUGGCAAGCCCCGGCUUACUGUGGGCACUUGCGGUCUCCACCUGCCUUGGAUCCAGCGUGGCCCAGACUGUCACUCAGUCUCAACCAGAAGUGUCUGUAUGGGAGGCAGGGACAGUGACCCUGGACUGCACCUACGACACUAGAAAUAGUGAUUAUUAUUUAUUCUGGUACAAACAGCCUCCCAGCGGGCAGAUGAUUCUCAUUAUCCGCCAAGAAGCUUAUAAGCAACAGAAUGCAACGGAGAAUCGCUUCUCUGUCAUCUUCCAGAAAGCAGCCAAAAUCUUCAGUCUCAAGAUCUCAGACUCACAGCUGGGGGACGCCGCGAUGUACUUCUGUGCUCUUGGGAGCGCACAGUGA